CCAAGCAGCUUGGAGGGUUGUUGGUGCAGAGGUCUGCUGGGACCAGCGGUCUCUUCUUUCCUGGGACCAAGAGAUGGAUCCAACCCAAGAUGGACAGGGGGAGCCCAGAGGCACUUGUAGCACGAGGGCCACCAACCUCGAGUGACAACCUGGCUCCGGUUCCAUGGGGCGACGUGGGGUCCUGCAUGUUUAGUGUCACUGAAAUCGAGUUCAGUUAAGCUCAGGGAGGCCCAUGUGGCCGGUGGCCGCCAUAUUGGAUGGCGCCAUAUUGGAUGGCGGCCAGUGGAAUUCUGAUGGGCUCCUGUUUGGUUCCUUCAGGGUCUUAGUGGGUGGAGCCGUUGGAACACAGAAUGUCACACAGACGGGGGACACCAACAAUGGACACUUAACCGGGGGCUGCUCGACCACUGGACUGCACUCCUGGCCUCUUUAUUGUGAACUUUGGAGGCAGGGCCUUGCUAAAUCACCCAGGCUGGCCUCCAACGUUCGAUCCUCCUGCCUCAGCCUCCUGAGUUGCUGGGAUGACAGGCGUGCACCACCGUGCCUGGUCCCCUCACACAAAAAGCUUUUCUUUUUGCUGUUUAAACGUACUCCUCUGCCCCAGUCCUGAAGGACAUGUCCCUCGUCCCCACAGCAGGUCCUCCGUCUUCCUCCUCAACCAUCCAUUGGUUCCCAAGACGUGGCCCAAGUCAUUCCCAGUGGACGAUCGUUCCCACACCCCCCGGGGACAUCCGUGCGUGAGUGACGGGUCCAUCUCUUUGAGAAUUCUGCCCAAUUCCGACCCCUUGGCUUGGGGUCCGUGUGGAGGCAGAACAUCAUGGUGGAUCACUUGAUGUGGCAAAGGCGCCCGGCUCCUGACGUCCAGGAAACAGAAAAGAAGAAGAGCCUGGGGUCCCAGUAGCCCCUUUAAGAACACUCUCUAAAGACCUAACUUCCUCCCUUCAGGCUCCACCUCCUUGAGCUCUCACCACCUGCAACAGGCCACCGUGGAGACCAAGUCUUGAGCCCAUGGCCUCUGGGGGACACUCUAGAUCCAAACUGGUGUCUGACGUGACAGAGGGCGCAGGUGACGGUGGUGACCUCCACCAAACGGCACGGCAGGCAGGAGCCGGGAAGUCGUGAGACCAGCCCUGGAGGACCAGCCCGCGGCGGGCACCGUCUCAGCACCCGAGGCUCGCGCCCGGCCCGGGUCACCGCGCCGCCCGUCUCCGGGGACCGCCAGCCGGCCAGCAUGCCAGUCCAGCGGCACCGGGGCGCGGGGUGGGUGACGGUCCACGAGGAUUAAGGCCAUCUCCCCGCCACUCAUCUUGGCAAGCCAUCCCCAGGCAACCAGGAGCCUCGGGCACUGUCACCUCCGGGCCAUCUUGGUGUCCGUAGCGUCCAUCUGCCCCCGUGGUCCCCUCCAGCCGCCCCCCGCCCAGCUGCCUGCCUGGCGCUCCCCGUCUGAGGUCUCCAUGGCUGUCCCCUCGUCCAUAGUUGCAAUACACGGGGUCCCGUGCCCUCGGGGGCCCUAGGGGACAUGCUGACUUGCUCCUGUCACCUGUCCCUGGGGAGGGGGCACCAUCCGCUGCCCACGAAUCGCCAUCGUUAGGGGUGGGUGCCCCCGGGUCCCCACCGCGACCCUCAGGCUCAGCGCGCGCCCCGCGCUCCCGGCUUCCUCCCGUGUCCGCGCGGCCACCAGCUCCGGGGACAUCGCCUCGGGGACUCGCUGCCACGUCGUCACCCCGAUAUGGUCACCUAGUCGGCUGCAGAGAGGAGAGAUGGCGCCGGGGAAGGAGGGGACCCCCGGCGAGACCCGGGUGGGACCGUCUGCCCCGGGACCGCCGGAGACUCCCAGGAGGUGCCCAGAGCAGACGCAGCCGGGGUGACGCGGGGACUCCGGGGCACGCCUGCGUCACGUUGGACGGCCAAGGCCCAGAGGCAGGGACGCAGAUGGCCCCCGGGAGUGUCCCCGGCGCCGACGGGGACGCCGGCCCCUCCUCCUCCCGUCCGUCCGCGUGUCCCCCGUGAGCCUUUUCUACACCCAAAGCUGCCAUUUGUGGAGUCUCGUAGGCGUGACGUGUGGCCCUCCGUGUCAUCUCUCCAUCGCUUCCGCCUCCUCGUGCGGAGAGAGGCCCUCGGACGAGGCUGAGGCGUCCCCACACCCAUGGCUGCUCCAGAAAAUAAAAUAUUUUUGAAACCGCC